rnacentral:rRNA from 1 species
CACUGUACGAGUUUGAUCCUGGCUCAGAGCGAACGCUAGCGGCGGGCUUAACACAUGCAAGUCGAGCGGAGAGCUUCGGCUCUCAGCGGCGAACGGGUGAGUAACACGUAGGUCACGUACCCUUUGAUGGGGAAUAACCUAGGGAAACCUGGGCUAAUACCGCAUAUGUCCUUCGGGAUGAAAGUCUUCGGGCGUCAGAGGAUCGGCCUGCGGCCCAUUAUUUAAUCCUAGUUGGUAGGGUAAUGGCCUACCAAGGGUACGAUGGGUAGCUGGUCUGAGAGGAUGAUCAGCCACACUGGAACUGAGACACGGUUCAGACUCCUACGGGAGGCAGCAGUGGGGAAUAUUGGACAAUGGGCGAAAGCCUGAUCCAGCCACGCCGCGUGGGUGAUGAAGGCCUUCGGGUUGUAAAGCCCUGUCGGGAGGGACGAAUCAAUGACGGUACCAUCAGAAGAAGCCCCGGCUAACUCCGUG